GAUGAACGCUGGCGGCGUGCCUAACACAUGCAAGUCGAGCGAGGGUUUGCUCAGUAUUGAGUAUUCUAAGUCUAGAAUGUUCAAUUCUGAGCAAAACCAAGCGGCGGACGGGUGAGUAACGCGUGGGUAACCUGCCCUAUACACAUGGAUAACAUACUGAAAAGUUUACUAAUACAUGAUAAUAUAUAUUUGCGGCAUCGCAGAUAUAUCAAAGUGUUAGCGGUAUAGGAUGGACCCGCGUCUGAUUAGCUAGUUGGUGAGAUAACUGCCCACCAAGGCGACGAUCAGUAGCCGACCUGAGAGGGUGAUCGGCCACAUUGGAACUGAGACACGGUCCAAACUCCUACGGGAGGCAGCAGUGGGGAAUAUUGCACAAUGGGCGAAAGCCUGAUGCAGCAACGCCGCGUGAACGAUGAAGGUCUUCGGAUCGUAAAGUUCUGUUGCAGGGGAAGAUAAUGACGUACC
rnacentral:rRNA from 1 species